ACGGCGUUCAAACAACAACUGGCGAAAACAAUUACGCUCUCGCUGCAUAACCGAACCAAGUAGGUUAUCUUAAUUCCGGCACAAGGUGCCGGAACGGGACGUCACCCCGGAGGUCACGACUUCAGCCAUCCGGAACCGGUGGCGCAGCAAUUGAAGGAUAGUUCGCGGAAAGCUCCGGGCCGCGGGCGAAAUUCAGGAGAUAAGGUGCAGGUCGGUGGCCCUGAUCCAGCUGGCACACGAAAACCAAGUCAGGGAUAAGCAUGUAGAAAACAUAUGGCUUCCCCGUUUGGACGCGGGUUCGACUCCCGCCAGUUCCACCA
rnacentral:tmRNA from 1 species